rnacentral:rRNA from 1 species
GACGAACGCUGGCGGCGUGCUUAACACAUGCAAGUCGAACGGAAAGGCCCUGCUUUUGUGGGGUGCUCGAGUGGCGAACGGGUGAGUAACACGUGAGUAUCCUGCCCUUGACUUUGGGAUAACUUCAGGAAACUGGGGCUAAUACCGGAUAGGAGCUCCUGCUGCAUGGUGUGGGUUGGAAAGUUUCGGCGGUUGGGGAUGGACUCGCGGCUGAUCAGCUUGUUGGUGAGGUAGUGGCUUACCAUGGCUUUGACGGGUAGCCGGCCUGAGAGGGUGACCGGCCACAGUGGGACUGAGAUCCGGCGCAAGCUCCUACGGGAGGCAGCAGUGGGGAAUAUUGCACAAUGGGCGGAAGCCUGAGGCAGCAACGCCGCGUGCGGGAUGACGGCCUUCGGGUUGUAAACCGCUUUCGCCUGUGACGAAGCGUGAGUGACGGUAAUGGGUAAAGAAGCACCGGCUAACUACGUG